ACGAACGCUGGCGGCGUGCUUAACACAUGCAAGUCGAACGGAGAUAUUUAAAAGCUUGCUUUUAAAUAUCUCAGUGGCGCACGGGUGAGUAACACGUGGGCAACCUGCCCGGAAGACUGGGAUAACAGCGCGAAAGUGCUGCUAAUACCGGAUACCUUCACGGAGUCGCAUGACUCUGUGCAGAAAGUUUUUUCGCUUCCGGAUGGGCCCGCGUCCCAUUAGCUAGUUGGUGAGGUAACGGCUCACCAAGGCGACGAUGGGUAGCUG
rnacentral:rRNA from 1 species